GUGCUUGCUUUGGCAACACAUAUACUAAAAUUGGAAUGAUACAGAGAAGAUUAACAUGGCCUCUGAACAAGGAUGACACAGAGACCAUUGAUUAGGGCAUAAAAACCUC